GACGAACGCUGGCGGCGUGCUUAACACAUGCAAGUCGAACGGACAGACCCUGCUUUUGUUGGGUGCUCGUUUGGCGCACGGGUGAGUAACACGUGAGUAUCCUGCCCUUGACUUUGGGAUAACUUCAGGGAACUGGGGCUCAUACCGGAUAGGAGCUCCUGCUGCACGGUGGGCGUUGGAAAGUUUCGGCGGUUGGGGAUGGACUAGCGGCGUAUCAGCUUGUUGGUGAGGUAGUGGCUUACCAAGGCUUGGACGGGUAGCCGGCCUGAGAGGGUGGUCGGCCACACUGGAAGUGAGACAGGGUCCAGACGCCUACGGGAGGCAGCAGUAGGGAAUCGGCCGCAAUGGGCGGGAGCAUGACGGAGCAGCGCCGCGUGAGUGAUGAAGAUCUUCGGAUCGGGAAGCUCUGUUAUUGGGGAAGAACAGAUGUGUAAGUAACUGUGCACAUCUUGACGGUAAAUGGUCAAAAAGCCACGGCUAACUACGUG
rnacentral:rRNA from 1 species